AAUGAACGUUGGCGGCGUGGAUUAGGCAUGCAAGUCGCGCGAGAAGUCAUUUAGCUUGCUAAAAGCCGGACAGCGGCGGAAGGGAGAGUAACGCGUGGUUAUGUACCCUCGAGACCGGGAUAGUGUCGGGAAACUGGCAGUAAUACCGGAUAACAUCUUCGGAUCAAAUGGUGUGAUUCCGCUCGAGGAUCGGACCGCGUACUAUUAGCUAGUUGGAGGGGUAAUGGCCCACCAAGGCUUAGAUGGUUACCGGGUGUGAGAGCAUGGCCCGGCUCACUGGGACUGAGACACUGCCCAGACAUCUACGGAUGGCUGCAGUCGAGAAUCUUCGGCAAUGGACGAAAGUCUGACCGAGCGACGCCGCGUGCGGGAUGAAGGCCUUCGGGUUGUAAACCGCUGUCAGUUAGGAGGAAAUCCAUGAGGGUUCUCUCUCAUGGUUGACCGAUUUUCAGAGGAAGGACGGGCUAAGUUCGUGCCAGCCGCCGCUGUAAGAC
rnacentral:rRNA from 1 species